UACGUAGGUGGCAAGCGUUGUCCGGAUUUACUGGGCGUAAAGAGCGCGCAGGCGGUCGUUCAAGUCGCGUGUGAAAGCCCCCGGCUCAACUGGGGAGGGUCACGCGAUACUGAUCGACUCGAAGGCAGGAGAGGGUAGUGGAAUUCCCGGUGUAGUGGUGAAAUGCGUAGAUAUCGGGAGGAACACCAGUGGCGAAGGCGGCCUUCUGGACGAUGACUGACGCUGAGACGCGAAAGCGUGGGGAGCAAACAGG
rnacentral:rRNA from 1 species